GGCUUAGAGUUUGAUCAUGGCUCAGGACGAACGCUGGCGGCGUGCCUAAUACAUGCAAGUCGAGCGAGCAGAACCAGCAGAUUUACUUCGGUAAUGACGCUGGGGACGCGAGCGGCGGAUGGGUGAGUAACACGUGGGGAACCUGCCCCAUAGUCUGGGAUACCACUUGGAAACAGGUGCUAAUACCGGAUAAGAAAGCAGAUCGCAUGAUCAGCUUAUAAAAGGCGGCGUAAACUGUCGCUAUGGGAUGGCCCCGCGGUGCAUUAGCUAGUUGGUAAGGUAACGGCUUACCAAGGCGAUGAUGCAUAGCCGAGUUGAGAGACUGAUCGGCCACAUUGGGACUGAGACACGGCCCAAACUCCUACGGGAGGCAGCAGUAGGGAAUCUUCCACAAUGGACGCAAGUCUGAUGGAGCAACGCCGCGUGAGUGAAGAAGGUUUUCGGAUCGUAAAGCUCUGUUGUUGGUGAAGAAGGAUAGAGGUAGUAACUGGCCUUUAUUUGACGGUAAUCAACCAGAAAGUCACGGCUAACUACGUGCCAGCAGCCGCGGUAAUACGUAGGUGGCAAGCGUUGUCCGGAUUUAUUGGGCGUAAAGCGAGCGCAGGCGGAAAAAUAAGUCUGAUGUGAAAGCCCUCGGCUUAACCGAGGAACUGCAUCGGAAACUGUUUUUCUUGAGUGCAGAAGAGGAGAGUGGAACUCCAUGUGUAGCGGUGGAAUGCGUAGAUAUAUGGAAGAACACCAGUGGCGAAGGCGGCUCUCUGGUUUGNCACUGACGCUGAGGCUCGAAAGCAUGGGUAGCGAACAGGAUUGGAUACCCUGGUAGUCCAUGCCGUAAACGAUGAGUGCUAAGUGGUGGGAGGUUUCCGCCUCUCAGUGCU
rnacentral:rRNA from 1 species